rnacentral:lncRNA from 1 species
GCGGGCCCGGGAGGCCCCCGCGCGCCGGGCUGCCUGCAGCAGGGGGCUCGCACGAACGUCUUCCCCCGCCAACCUCCCAGCGCUGGGGUGCGGGCUAGGACGGGGUGGGGGGACAGUGGCGCCCAGCGCGGAACAGCGCAGGAGCCGGGCGCAACGCCGCACGCGGGGACCCAGGGAAGGACCUGGGCGUCGGAAAUGCCGUUCUGAUUUUUAGUUUAAACGACGACAGCAUUGAGACGCCUCCCUGACACGUCCCCCGAAGCCAGCGGGGAGAUUACCGUGUUCGGUGAACUACGCCUGUAAUUGAAUGACCCGCAAAGGAAAAGGCACCUGAGCAGCCCACGCGGCCACGGAUUCCCGCUUCUUGAAGCACGUCUUUAGCCAGGAGCGUCUCGGGUGGCUGCCUGUGGGCCAUCCUGAGGACAGGGGCACCACGCCGGGCCGAGAUGUCUUGGGACGUGGCUGGAUGCGCUCUGGCUCAGGAAGGCUGCCAGGGCAGCGGUCAUCCUGAGGCCUCCUGGCAUCCGCAGCGCGGGGAGCAAGAGGACACCUGGCCGCUCCCUGCUGAACUUGAGCCGACUUGGGCAGCAGGACACAGAGACCACGCUGACUCCUAGCAACUCCCCAAGGCAUCUGUGGAUGCGGGACCGUCGACGCCGGCCUUGGGAAUACCAACCUUUGUUAUCUGGCGAGAACCAGGACACCUGAUGGGGAAUAUGAUACUGGCAGGGCAGCUUCUGUUCUGCCUGAGGGACAAAACUCAUGCCAGCAGCUGCUGAGGCCGCCAGGCGGAUUGGUACCCGGAUGCUGGGCAGUGUCCCACAGCCAGCCUGGACUGCACCUCUCUGUUCCUACCCACUGGGCGCCAUGUCCCACGUCGGCGCUGGCCUGUCACCGUGUGUGAUCACACCCUGGCCUGAGAAGAGCAGAUCAGCUCUCAUGAUUGUUCCAUUUCUGCAGGGUCUGACCCAGGGCAGGCGACAUGUCCUCUCUCGUGCUCCUGGGUGGUGGGUUCCAGGUGCGUUUCACAGACCAGCAGAGAUCGGAGAGCACACGGCUGGUGGGCACGAGGGCUGGUGGCUCAGCCCGCACCGGGCGCUCUGGACAUGCUAGCCAUUCUCACUGUCAUUCUCAGAGGCACAGAGCGUGUGGAAUUCCCACCAGCAGGGAGAAGCACGGAUUUGGGGGUCAUGGGGCUGUGUCCUCCUCUGGCUUAGCAGCUGUGGGACAGUUUCUCCCUGUAAAACGGAAAUGACUUCUGCCCUCAGGCCCCCAGGGUGGCAUCCGCACAGCCCAGGAUUUCCGGAUGGAUCCCACGCCGUAGACUGAGCAGGAGGGUGGACCUGCUCACACAGGUGGACCACACCGACGGUCCUGCGAGAAGGCGGCGAGCGCUUUUGUGAGCGCCCCACUCUCUGCUCCGAAAGCCGGCCACGCCUCUCCUUCCCCGAGGUUCUUUCCUGCACCCACGGUCCAGGGCGUUCUAGGCUCUCCCUUCCCAGGAGAGCUGGUCUUGGAGAGCUGGACACGGGGGUGACCAUGAGAACAGAGUCAACAGGGGUGGGCCCCGCCCCUCGGAUGGCCUGUCUGGUGUCUGGCCCGGGACAGUGUCCCCGCGCCUGGCGGUGGGGUGUCUUUGUCCUGGCUCCUCCCUCCCGAAGCACACUGGGGACUUGGUGGCAUUCAGGAGAGAAAGGGACCACCUGAAGCUCAGGAGAGGGGACACUGGCCGUUCGUCCAAGGGACGUGUGGACCAGAGCACGGAACAGCAAGUCGUCGCGCCCUGCGCCGACCGGGAAGCCGCUCCUGGAGGAUCAUCACGAGCCUGUUGCUGGGUGUUUACCAGUCUUGAAAAUCACAAGGCGGCAUUUCAGCCCCGCAGCAAAAGGACCUUGCAUGUAUUUUAAGGGCAGCAUCUUUUAAAAUUUCAUCUGCACUUCAGAUUCUGAGCAGGGGCCCCCCACCUCCCUCAAGGACCCAGUGCUUCCCCAGACACCCCAAGCUUCCCCUGCCUGCCUUCCCCCCGAACUGUCCCCCGACCCCGCCAGCUUGCCUUCCCCAGGCCAGCAGGCCCUGCAGGCUGCAGCCACGCACAGUUGCCUCUGAUGCCUGAGACCAGGCCGCAGGUCCCCUGUGUGUGGUCGAGGCCACACACCCCUGGUGCAGUGGCACCACCUGUUGUGUAGGUUCCGAUUAUCCUCGGCUGGAAACAAUGGAAACCCCAAAUAACCGCUGCUUAAAGAAUGCAGAUUUAUCUUUCCUUUUUUACACCAAAGUCUGGGGUAAGGCAGGUCGGGGCUGGCGGGGGGGCACUCCUUUGUCGUGUUCUCAGGGCAUGGCUUCUUCUGUCUGAUGAACCUUCCCCACAGGGCCUCUUUGCCCAAAGCCAUCUUUGCUCAAGAUGGCCGUUUCAGCAUGAGCCAUCACCUCUGCAUCCCAGCCAGGAGGAAAGAAGAUCUCUGAGGGCAAAGGGCAGGAAGCUGGGAUGCACUGUGUUGUUGUUUAAAGGAAGGCCCAUCGGACUUUGCUUCCUCUGAUUGGCCAGAAUGUGAUCACGUGGCCACAUCUAGCGGCAAGGGAGGCUGGGAAAUGUAGUUUUAAUUCUGGGGGGACACCUGCCUGCUAAACACAGGGUUCUGUUACUGUGGGGUGGGCCUGGGGGUGACAGACGUGGGAGCAGAGCUGCCAUCUUGGCUGCCUGGUCUCUUAAUUCCUCAUGCUCAGCUUAGAGGCGGAUGGCCCGAGGUUCUCAGUAAAUGAGUGAUACUCAAAGGAGUGAUGAAUGGACCAGUGGCAGGCAGCAGACCUGGGCGUGGGGCUCCGUGUUGGCAGGGCGCCGUGAGAUUACAGGCCCAGGGCACCCUUGGCUCAGCUGCUGAGCGACCCCAGGAAGCGGGGCGCGGUGACUCGGGCGCGUUUAAGACGGUCAGGGAGCUUUGAUUUCACUGAUGCCCUGGGGCCAGGGGGUGUGAGCAGGCCUGCAGGGGUGCGGUCAUCUCAGCACCUGACUGGCGGACUCCAGUGAGGUCCCUCUUUGCCCCUCCUCUGCUUCUCUAAGGGCCCGGCUGUCCCCGCCGACUGCUGGGGUCUGGGCCUGGCACAGAGUUUCAGCAGGUAACCCCGCUCCGCUGUCUGCAUUUAAUUUACCCCGUGUCACUGGGGCCCAGCUCUGCAGACAGCUGUGCGGCGGGAUCAUCUUUUACCAUCCAAUUAGCAGCAGACCCCCCAGACGACCGGGAGACCCGAGGCGGUUCCUUCCCACAGCGAGGGCCGCUGCAGCCGAGGCAGGCCGCUUGGUGUCUGGAAGGAGGGCAGGCGGGGACCGGGAGAAGGGAGGGAGGAGAACCGAUACUCCGGCAGGGGGAGAGGCGGGCGCUUCUGACCCGGCCCGGCUGAGAAUGAGCGAGGCAGGAAAGGCUGCAGCCACCCACUCGCUCCCCCCGUAUGGCAUCGCAGCUGCGACUCCUUAAGCCCCACUUGGGGCCCAGACACGCGAAGGACCCACGUGCCUGCUCUCCUGGCGAGGGGCCUUCGUCCGCAGCCUCCAUCCUCACCCGGGGUCCAGGAGGGGGGAGUCUCCCGAGAGCUGGAAGAGGUUUGCCGCCACCACACCCAGCACCUCUGUCGGUGGAAGGGAACUGGGGCUCACAGGGGGCGGAGCCUACCCGAGGUCCCGGGAGAGUGGGGUCCAGCCCCUCGACGGCUGCCUUCCAGUCUCCGGCGUCCCGAUGCUUCCCCGGAAGGCCUGCUGUGCGCCAUUUGUCCCCUUGCCUCGGUUGCACCUGCUAAGAACCGCGCCCAGGACGGGGUGGGUGUCAGGAAUUUACCCUCAUGUCUUCUAGCUGGUUUCCAUCGUCGGAGGCCCCACCCGGCAUCGCUUUCCGUCUCCCGGUGGGAAGCCGAGGGCUGGGCCAGCUGAUGAGUGGUGUCCUCAGAAAGACGCCUUCCAGCCCUUGGUCCCGUCAUUGAAGCUGCUCGGGUCCCCAGAGGCAGCCGGUGGCACUGCUCUUGUGCAGAUUCUGCUCGCUGGGAGCUCUUUCUCAGCUGACUGCAUACAUCAGAGGCAUUAGAGAGGCAUCAUCGAGCACAGGGAACUCCUUUGAGCCUCAGAGAGCCAAAAGAGCCCCUGAACCAGGAGCAAGCUGGGCCAAGGGAGGGAGCAAGCCGGGGUCCCAUCCCGAUGGGUGACUGGGUAACUGCAGGCACCCUGGCAAAGGACUCCGGUUUAAAAGGAGGCCGGGGUUCGCCACGCACCUUCCUGCCCUGGUGUCUUAGUAUUUGUUUAUUUUUUAGUCCCAUGUCAAAUGCAGACCUGCCCCGGGGCUCGCUCACCCGGUUUAGGCUCCCCAAUCCGCAGCCGAUCCUCGGCACUGAGCCCCCAACCCCCGCCCGCCCUGCGUGCCCGCUCCGGGGCAGGGCGGGUGCCCAGCAAGUCUCCUGGUUUAGGGACCGGCUGGUGAACUUGGCCCCUUUGUCCCUCCCAGUUGCUCGGCUUGAUAACUGUUGCAUUUGGAAACAAAUGACACACUUUUCCUACAUCUGCUCCAAAUUUGUCUUUCAGAAAUUAGGGAAUUGAGUUAUGCGGUAUACAUGGCAGUCCGGGCUGGGCCUCAGAGUAUGGAACUGAUUGGAUAUUCGGCUCAAAAUAAGAGGAGUUUCGAGCUCUUUCCAGGAAAUGGAGUGGAACGCCCAAACUGACAGCCAGUAUUAAAUAUUAUAUUCGUAUCGUUGUUCUGCCGAGUUCCCUGGCAUCCAACAUCUGGGAGCGAAAUUUAUAAAUGGAGAAAUCGAAUACCUGGUUAGAAUAUGAUGCUCAUCAGAGCUAAGAAAUUAAAAUAUGAGUGUGUGCGUUCCAAGGCAGGCCGCUUAUAAAGGUAGAGCUAUUAAAAUAUGAUUCGCUGAACCG